rnacentral:rRNA from 1 species
GAAGGCCUCUUCGGAGGUACUCGAGUGGCGAACGGGUGAUGUAACACGUGGGCAAUCUGCCCUGCACUUCGGGAUAAGCCUGGGAAACUGGGUCUAAUACCGGAUAGGACCUCAAGACGCAUGUCUUCUGGUGGAAAGCUUUUGCGGUGUGGGAUGGGCCCGCGGCCUAUCAGCUUGUUGGUGGGGUGACGGCCUACCAAGGCGACGACGGGUAGCCGGCCUGAGAGGGUGUCCGGCCAGACUGGGACUGAGAUACGGCCCAGACUCCUACGGGAGGCAGCAGUGGGGAAUAUUGCACAAUGGGCGCAAGCCUGAUGCAGCGACGCCGCGUGGGGGAUGACGGCCUUCGGGUUGUAAACCUCUUUCACCAUCGACRAAGGUCCGGGUUUUCUCGGAUUGACGGUAGGUGGAGAAGAAGCACCGGCCAACUACGUGCCAGCAGCCGCGGUAAUACGUAGGGUGCGAGCGUUGUCCGGAAUUACUGGGCGUAAAGAGCUCGUAGGUGGUUUGUCGCGUUGUUCGUGAAAUCUCACGGCUUAACUGUGAGCGUGCGGGCGAUACGGGCAGACUAGAGUACUGCAGGGGAGACUGGAAUUCCUGGUGUAGCGGUGGAAUGCGCAGAUAUCAGGAGGAACACCGGUGGCGAAGGCGGGUCUCUGGGCAGUAACUGACGCUGAGGAGCGAAAGCGUGGGGAGCGAACAGGAUUAGAUACCCUGGUAGUCCACGCCGUAAACGGUGGGUACUAGGUGUGGGUUUCCUUCCUUGGGAUCCGUGCCGUAGCUAACGCAUUAAGUACCCCGCCUGGGGAGUACGGCCGCAAGGCUAAAACUCAAAGGAAUUGACGGGGGCCCGCACAAGCGGCGGAGCAUGUGGAUUAAUUCGAUGCAACGCGAAGAACCUUACCUGGGUUUGACAUGCACAGGACGCGUCUAGAGAUAGGCGUUCCCUUGUGGCCUGUGUGCAGGUGGUGCAUGGCUGUCGUCAGCUCGUGUCGUGAGAUGUUGGGUUAAGUCCCGCAACGAGCGCAACCCUUGUCUCAUGUUGCCAGCGGGUAAUGCCGGGGACUCGUGAGAGACUGCCGGGGUCAACUCGGAGGAAGGUGGGGAUGACGUCAAGUCAUCAUGCCCCUUAUGUCCAGGGCUUCACACAUGCUACAAUGGCCGGUACAAAGGGCUGCGAUGCCGUAAGGUUAAGCGAAUCCUUUUAAAGCCGGUCUCAGUUCGGAUUGGGGUCUGCAACUCGACCCCAUGAAGUCGGAGUCGCUAGUAAUCGCAGAUCAGCAACGCUGCGGUGAAUACGUUCCCGGGCCUUGUACACACCGCCCGUCACGUCAUGAAAGUCGGUAACACCCGAAGCCAGUGGCCUAACCCU